rnacentral:tRNA from 1 species
GGUACCGCACCUAGAGGAUAGAGCAUCAGAUUCCUAAUCUGGGGGUCGCGCGUUCGAAUCGCGCCGGGAUCACCA